rnacentral:rRNA from 1 species
CCUACGGGGGGCUGCAGUGGGGAAUAUUGGACAAUGGGGGGAACCCUGAUCCAGCCAUGCCGCGUGUGUGAAGAAGGCCCUCGGGUUGUAAAGCACUUUCAGUGAGGAAGAACGCCUGGUGGUUAAUACCCAUCAGGAAAGACAUCACUCACAGAAGAAGCACCGGCUAACUCCGUGCCAGCAGCCGCAGUAAUACGGAGGGUGCGAGCGUUAAUCGGAAUUACUGGGCGUAAAGCGCGCGUAGGUGGCUUGAUAAGCCGGUUGUGAAAGCCCCGGGCUCAACCUGGGAACGGCAUCCGGAACUGUCAAGCUAGAGUGCAGGAGAGGAAGGUAGAAUUCCCGGUGUAGCGGUGAAAUGCGUAGAGAUCGGGAGGAAUACCAGUGGCGAAGGCGGCCUUCUGGACUGACACUGACACUGAGGUGCGAAAGCGUGGGUAGCAAACAGGAUUAGAUACCCGAGUAGUC